GGGCGCGCGAAGAAGAAGAAAGAAAAAGAAAAUGGGCUGAUUCGAUUCGACUGGUCCGAUCCAGUCUGGUUCAAUUCAGCUGGUUCGAUUCAAGAUAUCCGAAAUUGAAUUUUUACUCUACAUUGGGACCAAAAAUAAGGUCCAAAAAUUCCGAAAAAAUUCUAGAAAACUCAGAAAAAUUCAUAAACUCCAAAUAUAUUUUUAGUUUUGA
rnacentral:misc_RNA from 1 species